AAAAAAGUUGCAUAGUAAAUUGGUCUCCCUCUUUCAUUUUGCAUUGCUAACACCUGUUUUGCUUCCAAAUAAACAGGGUCCUCUCCUUCUGACUUCCAUCCCAUGAAGCCUCUCAAUUCAAUGAUGCUUGUUCUACUUUCCCUGUGUUCACGCAGCACUUACUUUACAAUUUGCAGCAACUUUGGAGGCCAUGUUUUAGAAGCAUCUUGUGUUCUUGGGUCGUCAUGUGAUGAAACAUCGCUCUGGAGAACCAAUUUACCUCCUUAAGACUUUGUGGAAU
rnacentral:lncRNA from 1 species